AUUGAACGCUGGCGGCAUGCUUUACACAUGCAAGUCGAACGGCAGCACGGGUGCUUGCACCUGGUGGCGAGUGCGACGGUGAGUAAUGCAUCGGAACGUGUCCUGAAGUGGGGAUAACGCAUCGAAAGAUGUGCUAAUACCGCAUAUUCUCUGAGGAGGAAAUGGGAUCGAAAGCCUUAUGCUUUUGGAGCGGCCGAUGUCUGAUUAGCUAGUUGGUAGGGUAAUGGCUUACCAAGGCGACGAUCAGUAGUUGGGUCUGAGAGGACGACCAGCCACACUGGGACUGAGACACGGCCCAGACUCCUACGGGAGGCAGCAGUGGGGAAUUUUGGACAAUGGGCGCAAGCCUGAUCCAGCAAUGCCGCGUGAGUGAAGAAGGCCUUCGGGUUGUAAAGCUCUUUCAGUUGAGAAGAAAAGUCGUGACUAAUAAUCAUGAUUCAUGACGGUAUCAACAGAAGAAGCACCGGCUAACUACGUG
rnacentral:rRNA from 1 species